rnacentral:rRNA from 1 species
CCCUUAGAUGUUCUGGGCCGCACGCGCGCUACACUGAUGCAUUCAACGAGCCUAUCCUUGACCGACAGGUCCGGGUAAUCUUUGAAUCUGCAUCGUGACGGGGAUAGAUUAUUGCAAUUAUUAAUCUUCAACGAGGAAUGCCUAGUAGGCGCAAGUCAUCAGCUUGCGUCGAUUACGUCCCUGCCCUUUGUACACACCGCCCGUCGCUCCUACCGAUUGAACGUUCCGAUGAAUACCAUGGAUUGAGAGUCUGAAUGGGUUCGCCUAUUUCUGCUUCUCGAGAAGUGGAGUAAAUCUUAGCGUUUAGAGGAAGGAGAAGUCGUAACA